AAUAGCGCAAAGUUUUCUUAUGUAUCCAAUCCCGUAGCAACAGACUAGAUGCAGACUGCAGCGGACUAUAAUAAUGCUAAUAAUAACACGCUGUGUGUAACUUGAAGAUCUUCCCGUAGGGUUGUAUUGAUUAGCUGUGGAGAAUCCACACUUUACUGGUAAUGGUCCCAGUCACCGUAUUUACAGUAGACUUACAAGAAGAACAAUUCCCGCAGAAGUGCUACCACUUUUUUCAAUCCAUGGCGUCAUGGCAAUAGAUUAAAACCAGACAAGCGGGCCUACGUACGUCACGUGAAGAGAAUCUGAACAGAUCUUGCUUGCUAGAACAAGGGCAGUCAAACUCGAUUGACAGUCUAUUCUUACAUUACUUGGAGCCAGAGAGGAAAGAAAUGACGAUUUAACUGAGAUGACGUUUUUAAGUAUACGACUAUUAUGGCUGGCAGACGACAGAACAAAUAAUCCCUCCUCCUCGCAUACGCAAUUGACGUUUCUAGGAAUAUUACCAGGAUUUUGUUUUUUAGAGAAGACAGGCAUAUUCUGAUUUUAGAUGAAUCGAUUUGGAGUUUGAGGUUUGAAAAUGAAUUAUAACGCACCAAUGCCUUCACCCGACAACCCAAACCUGGAAUUAGACAUUUUCACAGCCAUGGACGCCGCAGCGACCCAAAGAACGCGCCACGCUAACAACAUUCUAGAGAAAAAGCUCGAACACGACGAGAAAAUGCUCAAUAAAAAGAAAAAAAUGAGCGAAGUGCUCUUACGAAAAGAAACUAGUGAAGUACGAAGAGAACUUAGAAAAAUAAAGAAAAAGACACCGCCUUUACCUGAAAGGCAAAAAGAUCAAAUGCCAACAUAUUGUAGAGAACACGAAAAAGCAAAGACUAAAUCGGGGACCUGACACAGAAAUACAAAUAUAAAAUAAUUAAUGAGACGUCCUAGAAUAUGAUCCAGUUAACAAAAUAUUAACAUCGAUCUUUCACGCAGCAAGUGGUAUGCAACCAUUCACAUAAGCGGUUGAAAAGUUUCCACAUUGUCAAGUGAACAUAUGGUGGAUUAUCAAUCACAAUGAAGCAUUAUACCGGAACAAUGGUUGUGUCUUUCCCGACAUACGAACUUUUCUCGCCAUGAUAAAGUCAUAAAGGACUUCAGCUUUAAGUCCACUUUGUUUGUCAGAUAAUAAAAUGGGCGAUAAUCUAAGUUA